UUUUUUUCUUCUUCUUUCUUCUUCCUUCUCCUCCUCCUCCUCUUCUGCCUGGCUCAACUACAUUAACCUUUGCUUGUUCUUACAGGCCAAGGCAAUCCACAGCAACCCUGUGCUCACCUCUAUAAUUUGCUGUGUGAAGUACUUCAUUGUUACGCGCAGGUCUUUCCCACUAAACUUUGAAGAGUUAAACAGAAGAGGAAUAACUUAAUAGCAAGCAUUUUGAGAUUUCAAAACAAUACUUGAGAUAUUCUAUUUUCAGAAGUACAAAUCUGCAGUGCAAUCAGAUUCAAGGAUUUGGAUGACUAAAGUAGAUGAUCAGUCAUAAAGAGUAUGCGAGCCAGUGGAUUGACAUUCUUGGAUCCGGUCUAAACAUUCUGAUGAACAGUUCCGCAGCAGAUAUGUCAGCAUGACUUCUUUUUACAUGAUUUUAUUUGGAUUGCCUUCCAGGAUUCCCAGGACUGUGUUAAGCAGAGCAAUUAUAAUAGUUUAGAGAGUAUGAGCAAGAAACAACCCACAUGUAAUAAAAUAUGAAGAAAAAGAGGGCACCUGGAACAUUUCUGGAGGCUGGGAAGUCCAAGAUCAUAGCGCUGGCAGAUUUGCUGUCUGAUGAGGACCCAUUUCCUCACUGAGGGCCGCCUGUCUUCUGGAAUCUCACAUGGAGGAAGGGGCAAACGAGCUUUCUUGUUCUGUUUCACAAGGGCAUUAACCCCAUUCAUGAAGAAUGGAACCAUAUGACCUGAUCGCCCUUGGAAGGCUCCGCCUCCUAAUACUAUCACCUUGAGGAUUAGGAUUUUAACAUAUGAAUUUGUGGGGACACAAAGAUUCAAUCUGUAGCACCCCUAAUUAGAAAUCCUCUGUGGCUUGCUAUUGCCUAUUCCUAAUCUGCCAUACGAGACCCUUCUCUGCACGGAUCCAGACUUCCUUGUGGGUCAUUUCUUUCUGGCACUCCCCUCUCAAAUGGUUCCAGUUAUUGAUUGGUCCUCCACCUUCAGUAGCCAUGACAUAACACCCAGGAUGACAUAAUGAGGACAAGGAUGGGAUGGAAUAAGCCAGUGAGAUAGGCAGCUACUUUAAAGCUUUUACCUAGUUUGAAAUAUAGGCAUGGCUGUCAUGUGAAAUGACUCCAUUCCAAUUUUUUCAAAGAAAUUAAUUUUUCAGAGAAAUAAAGAAGUGCCUACUACUUGUGCCAACUCAAGGAAAGGGCAAAUGAAGAUGGGCUUGUUGGCUGACUUCCAUCCUAAUAUUUCCUGUGAGGGUAUUAGAUGCUGCCAGCUAAGGAUCUCAUUAGCUUAGUCCACACUAUUCUAUCAACAGCCAUUUUCCUCUGUCACAGCUGAUGCUGAGAGUCGUGUGUCAUAAAAUGCCAUAUACUCCCAAAGUUUAGAACCCUGGCUGAAUGAAAAUAAAUCACUGUUGUUGAAUCAAGUGAGCCAUGGGAUUCCCAAGAGAAGUUUCCUUUAUAUUUUAUAGUUAUGUGGUAAAACCUCAUGAUUUUCCAUACCCAUGUGGCUUUUCUGCUUAUUCCCUAUAAUUUUUCUAAAACAUUAUUCCAUCAUUCUAUUCAAUAAAAAAGAUCGCUUACCUCAUUUGCUCUCAGGAAUAAGAAAGACUUGCUCUCAGGAAUAAGAAAGUUUCACAGGAAUUGCAUUUAGCAAUGAGAUGAUAGAAUUCUUUUCCUCUGGACUUAUCAAAUAAGAUUACCAGCAGAUAAAUGCUUCUCUAGAAUUCAGGACAGAAGGCCCAGCUAUUGUAUAUUUAUUCCAUAGAUCAAUAUCUAUUCCAAACUCACAUUUUUAAGGCAUCAGCUUUAACUGUUGCCAAGCAUUCCCUUAAAAGUCAAGGCUCUGUUGGUAUAAUGAACGGUAAGAGAGGAUUGAGAGUAUACUUGUGAAUUGCCUGAGUAAUGCUUAUUCAUUCUGCACCAUGUAUUCUGUCAAGUAGAAUUCCAAUUGUGACCAUAAACCAUGCUCAUUUCUAUGUAGAAGAGAGAAUCUAUGGCUCUCAUAAUAGCUCUGUAUUUCAGAGGGAUGAUGCUACAUUAUUUUAUACCUAAUCUGUGUACUUGGUAUGUCUUGAUUUCUGCCUUGCCCUAUGAAUUACAGAAGUAACUUGUCUUAUAUUCUUGGAGUAGGGGAAGUAAUAUAUCAUUUGUGACAGCAGCAAUUUCUGAGCCACAGAUCCACUUAAUAUAAGUUAUUAUACUUAGACUCCAAAAUCAUGCAAGAUUCCAGGAAAUUUAUGGAGAAAAUAUGAGUUACCCUUUGACAUUCCCGGAGAAUACUACUGGUUCAUCAAUGUUGAUAUAAGUUUCCAAAGACUUGCCAAAAACUUUUAAGUGUUAAAUGCUCCCACAUGCAAUAGAUUAGUGAUCUCGUUUUAUAAGUACCUCACUAACUGAUUGCACCAUUGGAGUUCCUAGUGAUCACUUAUUAAUGGGACAGAUGAUAUCUGCUCUACCCAUCUCACAUGCCUGUGAGAAUCUUAUGAAGUAAUUUAUAGGAAAAAGUAUAAAGUGUUAUUUUAAUAUUAAAUAUUAUUAAAAAUAAUAGUUUCUUUUUAUUAAAUUUAUUGGGCUGACAUUUGUUAAUAAGAUUGUAUAGGUUUCAAGUGUACAAUUCUGUGAUACGUGUCUGUAUCUUGGAUUGUGUGCCCAUCACCCAAAUUCAAGUCAUCUUUCUAUUGCUCCUGACUCUGACUCAGGUAUGGUCCUGAAGACCAUUCCUGUCCAGAGUAAAAUGGACUGGCUCCGUGCUUCUGAAUGUGGAGCCUCUACCCCAUGUGAAAAGGCAAACUGGGAACUAGGUCACCGAUCUAGAAGCCCAAAGAAAUAAGUAAAUGUUUCAAAUGGUAACUGGGGCAUAAACAUCUUUGUGAAUUGAUAUGGAAGGAGAUCCGCCCUGUCAGUGCCCCAGUUAACACUCUUGUGAUGGUCUGUUCUGACUCCGACUGUUCUUGAAGUGGUGCAAGUCUAUCCACAGGCCUUUCUUUUCCCUGAUUGUCUUCUCUUCCCAUGAGCCCCUUUGUUGCUGGCUGAUAAAUUAUGUCUCAAUGUCGCUGUUGGCCUUUUGGCAGCUCUGCCUGCAAUUUUUAAUAAACAACUAGCACAAAGGAGUUGACUCUGAUGGACCAAUAGUCCAGGAAUACACAUCACAGAGAGACAGGCAUCUUCAGUUAGUUCAACAGUCAGCUUGCUGGAGAGAGCUCCUGGAAGCAGAUGAAUUGGAGUAUUGUGACUUUUUUCUUUUUGGCCAUGAUUUCGUUGUGUAAGGUUAGGCAAAGUGCAACUGCGCUGAGGCACUCUAGAGGGGAGGGGGUAAAUGUCACGGGGCUGAAUUUGUUCACUGAGCUCAGAAAGAGCCUCUGGGGGAACAGGAGAAGCAGCUGGAAGGUGAGAGGGGGCAGUAGAUGGGCAAACUUACCCCCUCAAGAUAAGUGGAGAAGGGUGCAUAACGUGGCUGUGUGGUCUUAGCCCAGCUCAGGCAGGGUGGUAAUGGGGCUGGACUUCCCAUGAAGAAUGGAGGGAUAAGUGACAGGAAUGGUGGCAGGGGUGAGGGGCACAGAGAUGAAAUUACAUAACCUAUU